rnacentral:piRNA from 1 species
UUUUUUAAAAGUGAGAUGGAUUGAUUGC